GAAAGGCAGAAUCGUAAAGGAUCUGCAACUGUCUACUAAACUGUAAAUCAUUGAACUUUUUAUAGUUUCUCCUUCGUCUAGGCGCAAACUUUGCAAGCUAUCUAGGUAAUUGAAAGUCAACGCUCAAUUUCCUGGAAUCGAGUCCGCCCAAUAGUCGAAACUCUUUCCGUGUAGGUUUCAUCAAAUGUUUCGCAUGUCGAUCGAAAAGUGUUGGGAUCGAUAUUCAUAUAAUGGACAGAAAGGCCUUUUGCUCAUUGAAUGCCCUCAAACGCAGCGCAGCACACCGUAACCAGUCACGUUGGCAUUUGGCUUUUUUUUUUGGAAAGCAGUAGAUUGAAGCGAGAAGGUGUUCAUUUGAAAACAGUGGGACUUAAUGGAACUGCUCAGUCAUCACACGAAACCCGUUGGAAGGAAGUGAAGAAACCACAGAUUUUCCGAAAGCGUUCGACACGCCCCUUUAGUUUUCUGGCGACGGGUGGUUGUUUUUAGAACCAGCGGAUCUAAAUGAAAUAAAUCAUCCGCUCUAUCGAGGCAAGAAAAA